CUUCAGUCCAUGGAAAAAUCUCUCUCUCCACGGAACCGGUUGCUGGCGCUCCAAAGGUUGGGGGGCCGCUGCCCCAGGCUGGCUGG